rnacentral:snRNA from 1 species
UUGCUUCAGCAGCACAUAUUCUAAAACUGGAACAAUACAGAGCAGAUUAUCACGGCUUCUGCACAAGGAUGACACAAAAUUUUGUGAAACAUUCAAUAUUUUG